rnacentral:rRNA from 1 species
AUGAACGCUGGCGGCGUGCCUCAUACAUGCAAGUCGAGCGAACAGACGAGGAGCUUGCUCCUCUGACGUUAGCGGCGGACGGGUGAGUAACACGUGGAUAACCUACCUAUAAGACUGGGAUAACUUCGGGAAACCGGAGCUAAUACCGGAUAAUAUAUUGAACCGCAUGGUUCAAUAGUGAAAGACGGUUUUGCUGUCACUUAUAGAUGGAUCCGCGCCGCAUUAGCUAGUUGGUAAGGUAACGGCUUACCAAGGCAACGAUGCGUAGCCGACCUGAGAGGGUGAUCGGCCACACUGGAACUGAGACACGGUCCAGACUCCUACGGGAGGCGGCAGUAGGGAAUCUUCCGCAAUGGGCGAAAGCUUGACGGAGCAACGCCGCGUGAGUGAUGAAGGUCUUCGGAUCGUAAAACUCUGUUAUUAGGGAAGAACAAAUGUGUAAGUAACUAUGCACGUCUUGACGGUACCUAAUCAGAAAGCCACGGCUAACUACGUG